rnacentral:rRNA from 1 species
GACGAACGCUGGCGGCGUGCCUAACACAUGCAAGUCGAACGGAGAUACUUUUGAAGCUUGCGAUAGAGUAUCUUAGUGGCGGACGGGUGAGUAACGCGUGGGUAAUCUGCCCAUAAGUGGGGAACAACAGUUGGAAACGGCUGCUAAUACCGCAUAAUCUGCCGUAAGGUAGGAAAGGUGGCCUCUGAAUAUGCUGCCGCUUAUGGAUGAGCCCGCGUCUGAUUAGCUGGUUGGUGGGGUAAAGGCCUACCAAGGCGACGAUCAGUAGCCGGCCUGAGAGGGUGAACGGCCACACUGGGACUGAGACACGGCCCAGACUCCUACGGGAGGCAGCAGUGGGGAAUAUUGCGCAAUGGGGGGAAACCCUGACGCAGCGACGCCGCGUGAGCGAAGAAGGCCUUAGGGUUGUAAAGCUCUGUUUUAGGGGACGAAUGUUACGGGGAGAAAUAUGCCCUGUAAAUGACGGUACCCUAAGAGGAAGCCCCGGCUAACUACGUGCCAGCAGCCGCGGUAA